GAAAUGCGAUAAGUAAUGUGAAUUGCAGAAUUCAGUGAAUCAUCGAGUCUUUGAACGCACAUUGCGCCCCCUGGUAUUCCGGGGGGCAUGCCUGUCCGAGCGUCAUUGCUGCCCUCAAGCACGGCUUGUGUGUUGGGCCCCGUCCCCUCCCCCGGGGACGGGCCCGAAAGGCAGCGGCGGCACCGCGUCCGAUCCUCGAGCGUAUGGGGCUUUGUCACCCGCUCUGUAGGCCCGGCCGGCGCCAGCCGACACCCAACUUUUAUUUCUAAGGUUGACCUCGGAUCAGGUAGGGAUACCCGCUGAACUUAA
rnacentral:misc_RNA from 1 species